rnacentral:rRNA from 1 species
CGGACGGGUGAGUAACGCGUGGGUAACCUGCCUCGAUACAGGGGGAUAACAGUUGGAAACGGCUGCUAAUACCGCAUAAGCGCACAGUACCGCAUGGUACCGGUGUGAAAAACUCCGGUGGUAUGAGAUGGACCCGCGUCUGAUUAGCUAGUUGGUGGGGUAACGGCCUACCAAGGCGACGAUCCCUAGCUGGUCUGAGAGGAUGACCAGCCACACUGGAACUGAGACACGGUCCAG